rnacentral:rRNA from 1 species
AGUGAACGCUGGCGGUAGGCCUAACACAUGCAAGUCGAACGGCAGCACAGGAGAGCUUGCUCUCUGGGUGGCGAGUGGCGGACGGGUGAGGAAUACAUCGGAAUCUACUCUGUCGUGGGGGAUAACGUAGGGAAACUUACGCUAAUACCGCAUACGACCUACGGGUGAAAGCAGGGGAUCUUCGGACCUUGCGCGAUUGAAUGAGCCGAUGUCGGAUUAGCUAGUUGGCGGGGUAAAGGCCCACCAAGGCGACGAUCCGUAGCUGGUCUGAGAGGAUGAUCAGCAACACUGGAACUGAGACACGGUCCAGACUCCUACGGGAGGCUGCAGUGGGGAAUAUUGGGCAAUGGGCGCAAGCCUGAUCCAGCCAUACCGCGUGGGUGAAGAAGGCCUUCGGGUUGUAAAGCCCUUUUGUUGGGAAAGAAAUCCAGCUGGUUAAUACCCGGUUGGGAUGACGGUACCCAAAGAAUAAGCACCGGCUAACUUCGUGCCAGCAGCCGCCGUAA